UAACUGAAGAGUUUGAUCAUGGCUCAGAUUGAACGCUGGCGGCAGGCUUAACACAUGCAAGUCGAGCGGGGAAGAGUAGCUUGCUACUUUACCUAGCGGCGGACGGGUGAGUAAUGCUUAGGAAUCUGCCUAUUAGUGGGGGACAACAUUUCGAAAGGAAUGCUAAUACCGCAUACGUCCUACGGGAGAAAGCAGGGGACC
rnacentral:rRNA from 1 species